rnacentral:rRNA from 1 species
GAUGAACGCUGGCGGCGUGCCUAAUACAUGCAAGUCGAGCGAACGGACGAGAAGCUUGCUUCUCUGAUGUUAGCGGCGGACGGGUGAGUAACACGGGGAUAACCUACCUAUAAGACUGGGAUAACUUCGGGAAACCGGAGCUAAUACCGGAUAAUAUUUUGAACCGCAUGGUUCAAAAGUGAAAUACGGUCAUGCUGUCACUUAUAGAUGGAUCCGCGCUGCAUUAGCUAGUUGGUAAGGUAACGGCUUACCAAGGCAACGAUGCAUAGCCGACCUGAGAGGGUGAUCGGCCACACUGGAACUGAGACACGGUCCAGACUCCUACGGGAGGCAGCAGUAGGGAAUCUUCCGCAAUGGGCGAAAGCCUGACGGAGCAACGCCGCGUGAGUGAUGAAGGUCUUCGGAUCGUAAAACUCUGUUAUUAGGGAAGAACAUAUGUGUAAGUAACUGUGCACAUCUUGACGGUACCUAAUCAGAAAGCCACGGCUAACUACGUG